AGCUCGUAGUUGGAUCUCAGUCAUGGUCGGUCGGUCUGUCUUGCGACAGUACUGAUUCGAACCAGACAUCUUGCUGGCUCUCUCGGAAUGCUCUUAACUGAGUGUGUCGGGGGACUGGCGCGUUCACUUUGAAAAAAUUAGAGUGCUCAAAGCAGGCGUUUGCCUGAAUAGUCGUGCAUGGAAUGAUGGAAUAGGGCCUCGGUUCUAUUUUGUUGGUUCUCUGAACCCGAGGUAAUGAUUAAUAGGGACAGACGGGGGCAUUCGUAUUGCGACGUUAGAGGUGAAAUUCUUAGAUCGUCGCAAGACGAACUACUGCGAAAGCAUUUGCCAAGAAUGUUUUCAUUAAUCAAGAACGAAAGCCAGAGGUUCGAAGGCGAUCAGAUACCGCCCUAGUUCUGGCCAUAAACGAUGCCAACUGGCGAUCCGUCGGUCUUUAAAUCCAUUUUUUCCGACGGGCAGCUUCCGGGAAACCAAAGUUUUUAAGUUCCGGGGGAAGUAUGGUUGCAAAGCUGGAACUUAAAAAAUUUGACGGA
rnacentral:rRNA from 1 species